rnacentral:rRNA from 1 species
GACGAACGCUGGCGGCGUGCUUAACACAUGCAAGUCGAACGGAAAGGCCCUGCUUUUGUGGGGUGCUCGAGUGGCGAACGGGUGAGUAACACGUGAGUAACCUGCCCUUGACUUUGGGAUAACUUCGGGAAACUGGGGCUAAUACCGGAUAGGAGCUCCUGCUGCAUGGUGGGGGUUGGAAAGUUUCGGCGGUUGGGGAUGGACUCGCGGCUUAUCAGCUUGUUGGUGGGGUAGUGGCUUACCAAGGCUUUGACGGGUAGCCGGCCUGAGAGGGUGACCGGCCACAUGGGGACUGGGAUCCGGCCCAGACUCCUACGGGAGGCAGAAGUGGGGAAUAUUGAACAAUGGGCGGAAGCCUGAUGCAGCACCGCCGCGUGCGGGAUGACGGCCUUCGGGUUGUAAACCGCUUUCGCCUGUGACGAAGCGUGAGUGACGGUAAUGGGUAAAGAAGCACCGGCUAACUACGU